AGACAUUCAGGCAGCCCUACACCCGUGAAAUCAAAUCUAUCAGCAGAAAAAUCUCACUAACAUGAAAUCCCACAAGAACGAUUAAGACGACGGCUAGGCAUAUAACUACUCAAUAUUACAUCCUACAGAACAUGUGCAACCCACUGCCAUCACAUCCAGAGGAAUUCCCCCAUCCUUAUCAUUUCAAGCUGCCAAUUUGCCAACCAUGUUGCCAGACUCUGAAGACCAAAAGAUAAUGGUGUGAAAGCAGACAGUACCUUCUGUAGAAUGGAUUUUUCCUUUUCAAAUUACCCUACUUUCUACUUCCCAAAUAAAUAAUCAGUGAGAAGCAUAAAUCAGGAUAUAGAACAUGGUUUCUCUUAAUGCACACAUGUUUCUGGGAAAGCAGUUGCUCCACCAAACCACUUUCUAGGUUGUUGAAAUUUUCUCUGGUCUCCAUCUGGUCCCCAUUAUUUUUAGGAAUUUCUUUCACUGGAUGCUAUGCUGAUCAGUAGAAGUAUUACUUUAAUUUCUCAUUAAUUAAUUUCAGAAGUACAAUUACAUAGAAACAUUAAAACACAUUGUACUUGAGUUAUUUUAUGUUCCCAUCCAUAAAAGCCCAACAGAAAUCAACAGGCAGGAUUGAAAAAUAAUGGUUUGGAUUCCUAAGUGGAAAAAGCUUAAAGAUGUAUGCUGUCACCAUCUUUUCAUUGUAAACUGGGUUCUUUGAAAAUGCAUCCAAUUCCAAAAAUGCAUCCAGGUAGAAACCCUCCUCUCUUCCAGAUUCAUAAAUACACAUCACUGCAUCUAAUUCUCUUUACCUUGCACCAGCAGAAACAGCUAUUAGAAACAAUUAGGUAAUUAACUGAUGAAUGUAGCAUCACUAAUAGUAUUUUUAAUCUCACAUUUAGAAAUAGCAGAGUAGCAAAUAAUCAUUCUAUUGCCAGCAGAGUGCUAGGAAGCUCUUCAGAAGCAUCACGAAAUGUGAAACUUCACUUUCCCUGAAGGGCACUCCUCCCAUCCCAUUCCUGAAGUAAUCAGUACUGCAUGAGAGAGACAUGGAUAAGACACAGAUUCACUAUAUUGAUUAACCACAAGCAAUCAGCCUAUAAAUUCUUCAAGUUGAAGCGAGGAAGUGAGAAGAACCAUCAUUAAAACCAGAAGAAUUGCCUUAGAAUAGAACAGAUGGAGGAACAGCAUCCACACUCAGCAUCUGCAACUGUCUCACAAUGGCUCGGAUGGAGAGAAGCUUCCCCAAAAACAGAGCAUGGACUGCAAAGCAAGACAGUCUGGGAGCUCUUAUGUUUUAUAUCCUUCAGGAAAACCUGAGCAUUUGUCUUUUAUUUGUAUAAAUGCAAGCUAAAAUACAGAAUCAUGACUC
ensembl:lncRNA